AGUAUCAGAGGACGAAAUCUCAUAUCAAUCUUAGGACACCUUCUGACACAGUGAUACCUGCACUGUGAAUGAGAAGGAAUAUCUUUCUGAUGAUACU
rnacentral:snoRNA from 1 species